rnacentral:rRNA from 1 species
UACGUAGGGUGCAAGCGUUGUCCGGAAUUAUUGGGCGUAAAGCGCUCGUAGGCGGUGUGUCGCGUCGGCCGUGAAAACCUGCAGCUUAACUGUGGGCUUGCGGUCGAUACGGGCAUCACUGGAGUUCGGCAGGGGAGACUGGAAUUCCUGGUGUAGCGGUGAAAUGCGCAGAUAUCAGGAGGAACACCGGUGGCGAAGGCGGGUCUCUGGGCCGAUACUGACGCUGAGGAGCGAAAGCGUGGGGAGCAAACAGG